rnacentral:lncRNA from 1 species
GAGACAGUUAAAAGCCCACACAUGAUUCUUCAGUUUCUUUUCCUGUGCCACAGCAACCAAGAAGGUCACAUGUUCCAGAAGCUGCAGCUAUAAGCCACCACGUAAGAUGUUCCUUUGCUCUUCCUUCAUCUUCCACCAUGAUUGUGAGGCCUCCCCAGCCAUGCUGAACUGGGGUAACCACCACAGGCCCACAGGCUAAAAUUGAGCUGGAGUAAGUGGCAACAGAGAGUAUUUAUUGUCCCCUAAGAGCCCUGAUCCACUGACUCACACCUGCCUCUCUGCUUGUCCAGAGAGGUACAGAGAAGUAAUGACUUGGACUUGAGGAAGGCCCUUGUAGGACAUGUGAAUGCCAGUGCUCAUGGAGAAAGGUGGAGGAAGAGAGCCAGAGUGCAGUUCACCUCUGGGAGAGCAGACCAGAGUGGCUUCCGUGGGCACAUGCUGGAUUGAAGUGAGAAGACGUGACUACUAAAGUUGAGGCCCCAAGUCUCAGCUUCUUCCCCCUCCAAAGCAUGAGUGGAGGAUUCACUUAAGGCCACUUUGGUGCACCAUGAAUCCAAUAUGAUGGUAUCCUCAUAAGGAGAGGAGAAGAGACACAAAAACAGACACACCCUGGCAGAUCACUGUGUGACUACGGAAACAAGAGACUGAAGCAAUGUGUCUACAAGCCAAGGAACACCAUGAAUUGCUGGCAAUAACCCAAAACUACAAAGAGUCAAGGAAGGAAUCUUCCCUAGCACCUUCAGAGAGAACAUGACCCUGCUGACAUCUUGAUUUUGGAUCUCUAGCUCCCAGAACAGUGAGAUAAUAUGUUCUUUUAAGCCACCAAUUUGUGGUACCCUAGGAAACAAAUGAAUUUAUCACUAAGUUCAUGCAUACUUCUUCUCCCUAUGCAUAGCACGCCCCCCACACACCCCACCCCCCCCACUGCCUUUUUUCAGAUUCAAACCAUUGAUCUCACCCAUUGCAUUUCUGGCAUCAGGUGUCAGCUGGCUCAUUUUCUUUGAGGCAAAGUUCAUAUCCACUGGAUUCACACCUCAGUUGCCACAUGGGCUGCUUCUCUGCUCAGAAAUGCCAGGAGUUUUUAAAUAGUUCAUAAAAGGGACCCCCUUUUGACCUGACCCUCCCAGGUAAGUAUGCUGUCUUUGAGGACCACAGAAAGGUUCAAGAAUCUGGGUUUUCAGUCUCCACAUAGCUCUGGGCAAGUCUCUUAACCUCCCUGAAUUCUUUCAAUGGCUUCAUCAAUUAAAAAAAAGGCAACUGCUUUAGUCUUUCCUGCCUCUGGAGAAUGUUGUUAGUGUGAAAAGACCUUCAAAAGUACAACAAAGAAUGCUGUGCACAUUUAUAGUCCUUUAUUAUUCAGACUUAGGAGGCUGGGAUGAAAUAAAUAUUUAUGGAACCCAGAAGGUGACAUGGAAU